GUUUAUUCCUUCAGACACAUCCGAUAAAAUUGGAACGAUACAAAAAAAUUAGCAAAGUCCUUGCGGAAGAAUAAUGCAUAAAUCAAGAAAUGGUCAAAAAGUAUUU
rnacentral:snRNA from 1 species